UAAGGAGUGUGUAACAACUCACCUGCCGAAGCAACUAGCCCUGAAAAUGGAUGGCGCUUCAGCGUCGAGCCCAUACCCGGCCGUCGCGGCUGUAGGUACUUGUGCUUUAUGUCGCGACGAGUAGGAGGGCGCAGGGGUGUGCGUUGAAGGUGCCGGGCGCGAGCCCGUCUGGAGCCGCCCCUGGUGCAGAUCUUGGUGGUAGUAGCAAAUACUCAAGUGAGAACCUUGAGGACUGAGGUGGAGAAGGGUUCCAUGUGAACAGCAGUUGAACAUGGGUCAGUCGGUCCUAAGGGAUAGGAGAAAUCCGUUCCGAAGCGGGACCUUCCUCUUUUUAAUGUUGGUCCCGCCGCAGACCGAAAGGGAAUCGGGUUAAUAUUCCCGAACCCGGACAUGGAGAUCGACCCCUCACGGGGUCCAGUGCGGUAACGCAAACGAACUCGGAGACGUCGACGGGAGUCCCGGGAAGAGUUGUCUUUUCUUUGUAAGGGCUCGGCUCCCUGGAAUCGGCUCGCCCGGAGAUAGGGAUGCUGUACCCGUAAAGCACCGCGCCUCUUGCGGUGUCCGGAGCGCUCCCGUCGGCCCUUGAAAAUCCGAGCGAGAGGUUGUGAUUUUCGUGCCGGACCGUACCCAUAUCCGCAGCAGGUCUCCAAGGUGAACAGCCUCUAGUCGAUAGAAC
rnacentral:rRNA from 1 species